GAGGGCGACCAAACCCCCGCUUUACUGCGCUGAACGCUUCUGAAUUUCAAGCAGAAAGUAGAAGGAGCCCCACACGGCAAUGAGCGUCUUUCCUUGGGCUGCGUGUGCAGAGCUUAGACAAUGAAAAUCUCCAUCCCCCUCCCCCAUCCCCGCUAGGCUACAAGAUUUUUGUUCUCGUUCCUUUUCAACGGUGGAAGAUGUGCAAAAUCAAACCUAUAGAGAUGUGUAUAUAUUUUUUAACAACCAAACCAAACGGGCUGAGACGCGGAUUAACCUAAAGCGCACCGGCUGGGCGCGUGCUGGGGAAUCUGCGCCGGACUGGCUCUCGGCGCUCUCUCCAGCCGCAGCCGGUGUCUACGCCGCCCGGGGACUGCGGUGGCUGAGGAUCCUCCCUUCCUCGGACGCAGGAGUCGGAGCGGGCCUUUCCCUUGGGCCGACCGCGCAGUAGGGGACGCCGCGAAAAGAGCCGCUGCGCCCGCCAGCUCCGGCCCGCAGCGCAGAGGGCUCCGCCCGUAGAGGUCAACCCCCCUCACCCCUUCCUCUCUCCUGCUCGCCCUCCCUCCGCCCGGCCCAGGUUCCUCCAGCCUCCGGACUCUUGCCGCAGUCCGAGGAGAGCGCGUCGGCUGCGCUGCUCUGAGCCAUAACCCCCAGCCGGGCCCAGACCCGAGGCCCGCGCUCCCGGCGGUGGGGAAGCCUUAGCGAGCUGCUUGUUCUCUCUGCACCAAAGCUGUAGCCAGACCAGAUGGGCCGCCCAGCUCUCUCGGGACUAGGCAGGGGCUGGGAACAAAGGAGAGGAACUAAAAGAGGAUUCACCAAAGUGGCCGCGCCCUUCGCGCCUGGUGCUGUCCGCGGUGCUGACCUCGGCCCUCUUCUCUACGUAAUUUAGCCAAAAAGCAAUAGGAUCCUCCGCCCCGGUCCCGAAGAAUAACAGAAUAUUAGGUAAUUGAGAAAGAAAAAAAAUAAUAAAGGCAGAGAAGUGCCGCACACAGAAAACCUAAUAUUUUGCCAAAAUAGUCCACUCUAGCUGUUGCCACACUUGACUUGCCCUUUACAGUCUUGACGUAGUUUUUGCAGUUAGUGUAUGCACAUUGGGAAACGAUUUCACUUUAUUUACACUGAAACCUGAAUCUAAGUCAUGGGCGGGACUUGCAAGGAGAAUAAGGAGAAUGAAGGCUCUGUAUUUUUUUUCUUUCUUUCUUAAGUCAUCUUCCUUAAGACAUACAAACUUAUGGUCUUCGGCGGCAUACCUGAGUGGCACUAGUGUGGUCAGUAAAGGGACUCCCAACGGACUCAAGUGUGGGCCUUGAGACUUACCAGCAAAGGCUGGGAUGGGGACUGACUAGAUGAAACCCAGCAGGAGCCCACCCAGCCCCUUCCCCUCAGGCAGCCGGGGCGCCUUCCUAGGUGGGUCCAGAGCCCCAAGCUCUGCAGACCUCCCUGAAGCGCAGAGCUUGCUCAGCGUUUCCUGGCCGGCGGGAGGCACUGCAGGCCGGAAGACUUGAAACCCGCACUGCGGAAAAACCAACUUCAGCAUCCUCCCCCUUCUCAAAGGUCCAGCAGUUGCAGCUGGAAAAGGGCAGUGUGGCUUACUAAAUCGCAUAUGGGUCAGCACUGAUAUAUUCAAUAAAUCUUUAAAGCUGGCAGUGUAUUUCAUUGUCCUAACCUAGAUAUUGAGAACAUUAAAUAUAAAUAAUAAAAAUUUAAAUAUCUUUAAACAAUCAAAAGAGAGAUAGGGAAACAGGAAACCAAGCAAUGUGUAACCAGCCCGAGGUCGCAAAGGAAACUGCAACAUGUUUGUUUGCAUUUACAAAUCCACAAACAUAAAAGAUGUUAAAAACUAAAAAUAGAUAAUAGAUAACAACAGAUUAUAGAAUAAUAUAUCUACAAAAAUAGAAAUAGAUAACAAUCCAGCCUGGGCAAUAGAGGCGGCAGCAGCACUUUUGAUCCAGAUAGAGAAGUGGGCCACAAAUGGGUCAUACAUUUCAUCAAAUUCAUUAUUUUACACCUGACUGAUAGAGAUAUCAAAUCUCUGAUAUAUGAUUCCAUAAAUAAGAUGAUAAAGCACCUAGUCUCAGGAGAUAGUCCUACUUCUCUCAGUGAAUUUUAUUUGUCCUCUGAUUUUUGAAUUCUGUGAAUUAGGUCUUUCAUUUAAAUUGAUGAUUUAAAUUUCGAUUCCAUUUUAUAUAAUUUGAGAGGGAAUAGGUAAAACACACCAGAAAGGGGGGUUGCUUGAAUAAUAAAAGGAAAGUGUUGGGAAACAUUCCUCUUUUGCCAGUGAAGAGUAGUCAUUGGAAAUUGAAAUGAAUUUAAAGCAUUACGUGUUAUCAUGGAAGCUUGAUUCCGUUCCAGCAUCCACACAACUGAGCCGAUCUCCUGAACCCACAUUCCUUCAGAUACUUCGUGAAGCCACAAGGUCCAAGGGUGUCAAAUCUUUCUGCCUCAGUUGUGUUAUAAUUCACAUUACCCACCUAAUCCCCUUCACUCUAAUCUUUCCUGUUUAGGAAAUCUAAAUACAUCCUCCAGAAAACUAAAUAAGUUUUUAAAUGACUUUCUAAAUAGAGAUGAGAAACACAGUAUGAAAGAGAGAAGGUAAAAUACUGUUUAAAUAAGGGAACACACAAUUUAGUAUUCCGGUUACAGCGAUUAUAUCCAGAGUGGUUAAUGAUCGCCAUAUUUCUAGAUUUUUAAGACUAUUCUGUUUUCUAUUUCUUUUAAAAAUAAUCACCUAGUUUAAUAUCUUUGCCAAUUUGACUGCUAUGAAAUCAAUGCUCAGCAUUUUUUGCAAUAAAACAAUCUAUGCUUCGCAGUUGGCGAGUUUCAGUAUGCAGUGCCACGGGGGUCCUUUGGCCAUCACAACUUUCAUUUAGUGGUCUGAAAUUAAGGCUUCUCAAAAUAACUUAGGAGCAGCUUGACCCUUUGAAAUACUCAAUGACAAUCCUCCAGGGAAAUAGUACCUUUCCUUCCUGGGAAGGAGAUGCUAGCGCAGUGCACCGGGGAGUAAUACGCUGUCAACAAUGCCAGAGCGCCCUCUGCUGUCAGAAAGAGGCAGGACACCAGCUAAAAUACCCAGAUAGCACUGAGUUCUGGGUAAGCAGUGAAAACAUUAAGCUCUUAGAAACAUUUAAUAUGUGAAAUUUAAAAGCUCUGAUCAUGUUGUAUAUUUGAAGGGGGCACCUGAUUUUGAUUUUGAGAACUCCUUGAAUAAUUUGUUUACAUUUCUGAAAGGUAGUGAAAAGUCCAAUGUUUUGAAGUUUUCAGUCUGUCAAAUUAUUUCUGUAGUUACAUUUCUGCACAUUUACUCUAGUUUUAUAUGAAAAUACGAAACUGCAGUUCAGAGUUAAAAAUCUUUGUGCUGAAUACAUUAGUAGAGAAUGAGAAUGCAUGUCCUAGUUUCUCUAGAUAACUAAGAUCUAAUAGAGAAAAAAUACUAGCUAAAGAUAUCAAUCAUAGAUUGUUACAUUUUUAAAAACUAAUGACUGAGGUAGAGAAUCAUUUUCUUAUUUUGAUAAUUAACCCAGAGUUUUCUCAAGCUUUAUGUUUGGGAAAAGAAAGUGAGUUCUGUUUGAGGAGGAAGUUAAAAAUAUUGCUUCACCAUAAUAUGCAUAUUCUUUUUACCUUUAAAAAAUUUGAAACGAAUUUAUGUCCAUACUUAGCUUAGAAAGAUUUCUUUAGAAAAGAACGCACUCAGAGUGUAAAUAAUCUGAUGUGGCUUAAGAAGCAAUACUUGAAUUAAAAUUGAGUUUUUCAGUAUGGAGCAGUCUUUUCUCAAAUGAAAUGGAGAGCAUUUUUUAAAAGGUUAAAAAUUCUUUUUCAUUUUUAUGUAUUACAGGGUUUGUAAUGAUUUUUAAAAUGUACAGCCGUAUUCAUUAAAUGUUGUGAAUCUCAAAAUUACAGCCUAUUUCUAAACACACACACACACCUUUACCAUGAAGACUGUUGUUGAGUAUAUCAGUGCUAAUGUAAUAAGAUGCUUCUAUUAAUUAUUUGGUUGUUAAAUAAAUCUUGGAAAAUAAAGUUCUAUUUAUUUUA